rnacentral:lncRNA from 1 species
CAUUAGAUGUAAUAUAGAAACAUGUUGAUAUGAUCAACAUGUAGUUCAUGCUCUAUAUAUUUUAAUUUCUGAUUUAAUACUAUGUAAUAAUCAUGUAAUAGGAUCUUAGAUCUAGAGAUUCUCUGAUUUUAAAAAAUAAAUUUUAAUUUAUUUUAGUCUUCCGCUGUAUGAUCUUGAAAAAGUUUCAAGAUCUAACCCUGAAACCCU